rnacentral:rRNA from 1 species
CAUGCAAGUCGAGGGGAAACGACAUCGAAAGCUUGCUUUUGAUGGGCGUCGACCAGCGCACGGGUGAGUAACGCGUAUCCAACCUGCCCACCACUUGGGGAUAACCUUGCGAAAGUAAGACUAAUACCCAAUGACGUCUCUAGAAGACAUCUGAAGGAGAUUAAAGAUUUAUCGGUGAUGGAUGGGGAUGCGUCUGAUUAGCUUGUUGGCGGGGUAACGGCCCACCAAGGCGACGAUCAGUAGGGGUUCUGAGAGGAAGGUCCCCCACAUUGGAACUGAGACACGGUCCAAACUCCUACGGGAGGCAGCAGUGAGGAAUAUUGGUCAAUGGACGAGAGUCUGAACCAGCCAAGUAGCGUGCAGGAUGACGGCCCUAUGGGUUGUAAACUGCUUUUAUAAGGGAAUAAAGUGAGAGUCGUGACUCUUUUUGCAUGUACCUUAUGAAUAAGGACCGGCUAAUUCCGUGCCAGCAGCCGCGGUAAUACGGAAGGUCCGGGCGUUAUCCGGAUUUAUUGGGUUUAAAGGGAGCGUAGGCCGGAGAUUAAGCGUGUUGUGAAAUGUAGAUGCUCAACAUCUGAACUGCAGCGCGAACUGGUUUCCUUGAGUACGCACAAAGUGGGCGGAAUUCGUGGUGUAGCGGUGAAAUGCUUAGAUAUCACGAAGAACUCCGAUUGCGAAGGCAGCUCACUGGAGCGCAACUGACGCUG